CUAAACAAUUACACUCGGUUUACACCUUAUAUUUAACACACUGUGAGCCAAAACAUGGGUAUAUAACACUUAUGUGUAAAUUUUCAGCUAAACAAUUACUUACACUUGGUUCACACCAAAUACUUAACUGGACGUAACUCACGUCCGUCAGUUUAUAAACCUAAGAAAACUAAAACCUAAAGAAAUCCAAGCACUGCGUCUUAUCUCUUAGUCUUCUCAAUCUUCUAUUUCAGCACCGCCAAUAUCACUUUUCUGCAUUCGUCGUUCCUUCUCAGAUGAGCAGCUGCUGCGGUUGCUUGAUUGAUUGAUUGAAUCCAAAUCAAUCAGAGAUUUCGAUUAGGUAACUGAAGAGAUCUGUUGACGAAUUCAUUUCUACAACAAUAAUUGGAGAUGUUCACGGGAAGUGGUUUUGAUGGGCGAUAUUUCUGGGUUGAUUUGGAUUCAACAGAAAAGAACAUCCUGGAGCUUUUUCGUGCUAAAACCAUACUGCUUAAGCUGGGUUAAGUGGUGAUGCUUGAAGUGAACAUUGCAGGGGGUUACAGAGAAGAAUGAGAUGGCAUAAGAUUGAAUUGGAGUUGAGUAAUUGCAGGGUUUGACUACAGUUGAGAUGACUUGAGUUAGAGAUUAGUAUAGCGCUGUGGUUGGUGAAUGCAUGCUUGGAAAGAUGCCUGUCACUUUUAGAAUUGUAUUGGAGAGUUUGAGAAUGGCAAGCAUCAUAUCAUUCACAUUUAGAGAAGUUGUAGAAGAUGUUGAAUACAAAGGUAAUGAAAAAAAGUGGAAUCUAAGAGGUCUUUGUUCUCUUCUUGAAUGAAACAAGGAAUUUCACUUACAGGAAUUGUUAUGUGACGGGUUACCUCACAAGCCUCAGAAGUUCGAUCCUUCAAGAUUUGAGGUUGCACCAAGACCCAAUACAUUUAUGCCAUUUGGAAAUGAAUACAUUCAUGUCCAGGGAAUGAACUUGCCAAAGUGGAGAUUCUUAUAUUACUUCACCUCUUAAUAACCAAGUUCAGGUGGGAAGUGAUAGGAUCUCAAAGUGGGAUGCCUAGCGGUCUUGGCCCAUUUCACUGUUAACAAAUCAUGAAUGAAAAUGAAAAAUGCAUCGUCUAAAAUGAUCUGAAACGGGGCGAGGCAAAGCCGAGCAACACCAACCAAAAAUCCUAAGUAUGCUUUGGGACGCGGCGAGGCGAAGCCGAGCCACACCAAAUCAAAAAUCCUAAACGAUGGGACGAGUCGAAGCCGAGCCAUACCAAAUCCAAAAUGCAUCGUAACGGUGGGGGAGAAGCCCCAAAAAGAAUGAUGGUGAAUGGUUUUCGGGUAUGCCCGAUACAUAGCACGGGCAUAAAAUCUAGUGGAGUUGAAAUGUGUAAGGGAUGCUCGAGUUAUAAAGCAGAAAGACCAAGGUAGUCUACGGGGUAGUUUCCCAACGGGAGGAAAUAACAGAAUAAGCUACGGACUGGUUUUACCACCGUAAGCAAUUCCAGGUGAAGAUACGGAUUGGUUUUCUCACCGUAAGAAAACUCUAGGACAAAAAUAUUGUCUACCACCGAGGCACCGACUGCCGUGAAGAAAUAUUUAGUUUCUAUGGUCAGUUUCCUAUAACUAACAGGCCAACGAUUAAUUGGGCUGGAUUUCCUGCGAGCCCAUUGGAGGAUUUUACAUGGGAAACUUAGGCUAAGGCCCCAAAAAAAAUAAUAUUUUUAUUGUCAGGUCCAAGAUUAUUUUUUGGUUCCGUAACACCCAUAAUUAUACAGAAUUUUGAAAAAUGUCUGAAUAACGGGUUAUCAUCCUAAUUUUUCAAGAGUA